UACGGGGGGGGCAAGCGUUGUUCGGAAUUACUGGGCGUAAAGGGCGCGUAGGCGGCCAACUAAGUCGGAUGUGAAAUCCCCAGGCUCAACUUGGGAACUGCAUCCGAUACUGGUCGGCUUGAAUCCGGGAGAGGGAUGCAGAAUUCCCGGUGUAGCAGUGAAAUGCGUAGAUAUCGGGAGGAACAUCUGUGGCGAAGGCGACACCCUGGACCAGCACUGACACUGAGGCACGAAAGCGUGGGGAGCAAACAGG
rnacentral:rRNA from 1 species